AAUAGAUACCCGGGUAGUCCACGCCGUAAACGUUGGAUACUAGGUGUGGCGGUUAUACCAAUGACUGCCGUGCCGAAGCUAACGCAUUAAGUAUCCCGCCUGGGGAGUACGGCCGCAAGGCUAAAACUCAAAGGAAUUGACGGGUCCCCGCACAAGCGGCGGAGCAUGCGGCUUAAUUCGAUGCAACCCGAAGAACCUUACCUGGGUUUGACAUCACGGGAAAAGCUGUAGAAAUACAGUGUCCAUUAGGGCCCGUGACAGGUGGUGCAUGGCUGUCGUCAGCUCGUGUCGUGAGAUGUUGGGUUAAGUCCCGCAACGAGCGCAACCCUUGUCCUAUGUUGCCAGCGGUUCGGCCGGGGACUCAUAGGAGACUGCCGGGGAUAACUCGGAGGAAGGUGAGGACGACGUCAAGUCAUCAUGCCCCUUAUAUCCAGGGCUGCACGCAUGCUACAAUGGCCGGUACAACGGGCAGCGACCCCGCGAGGGUGAGCGAAUCCUAAAAAGCCGGUCCUAGUUCGGAUUGAAGUCUGCAGCUCGACUU
rnacentral:rRNA from 1 species